CCUGGCUCAGGAUGAACGCUAGCUACAGGCUUAACACAUGCAAGUCGAGGGGCAGCGCAGUGUAGCAAUACAUGGGCGGCGACCGGCGCACGGGUGCGUAACGCGUAUCCAACCUUCCCGUUACUCAGGGAUAGCCUUCCGAAAGGGAGAUUAAUACCUGAUGGUGUUCAAAUUCCGCAUGUUAUUUGAACUAAAGAUUUAUCGGUAUCGGAUGGGGAUGCGUGACAUUAGAUAGUAGGCGGGGUAACGGCCCACCUAGUCUACGAUGUCUAGGGGUUCUGAGAGGAAGGUCCCCCACACUGGAACUGAGACACGGUCCAGACUCCUACGGGAGGCAGCAGUGAGGAAUAUUGGUCAAUGGUCGGAAGACUGAACCAGCCAAGUAGCGUGAAGGAUGAAGGUUCUAUGGAUUGUAAACUUCUUUUAUACGGGAAUAAAACCUCCCACGUGUGGGAGCUUGUAUGUACCGUAUGAAUAAGCAUCGGCUAACUCCGUG
rnacentral:rRNA from 1 species